CACGUAGGGGGCAAGCGUUGUCCGGAUUUAUUGGGCGUAAAGAGCUCGUAGGCGGUUCGGUAAGUCGGGUGUGAAACCUCCAGGCUCAACCUGGAGACGCCACCCGAUACUGCUGUGACUCGAGUCCGGUAGGGGAGCGUGGAAUUCCUGGUGUAGCGGUGAAAUGCGCAGAUAUCAGGAGGAACACCAGUGGCGAAGGCGGCUCUCUGGGCCUUUCCUGACGCUGAGACGCGAAAGCGUGGGGAGCGAACCGG
rnacentral:rRNA from 1 species